UGUACUGGGGCAUAUGAUCUUCACAGGAUCAAGGGCCUCUCCUCCCAUUGAUGGCCGACUAGGCCAUCUUCUGCUACAUAUGCAACUAGAGACACAGCUCUGUGGGUACUGGUUAGUUCAUAAUGUUGUUCCUUCUAUAGGGUUGCAGAUCCCUUUAGCUCCUUGGGUACUUUCUCUAGCUCCUUUAUUAGGGGCCCUGUCUUCCAUCCAAUAGCUGACUGUGAGCAUCCACUUCUGUAUUUGCCAGGCACUGUUUAGUGAAAUAUAUAGAGAUAUAUUAGAUGUGGGCUGUUAAAGGGAAAAAUAAGGAAAUAUUUGAGAAGAUUAAUUUUGUAUAUUUUUUUGGUCACAGUGUAUAACUGAUACUAAGCUCAAUGAAUAAUUAAUGUAUGUGUGUAUGUGUGUAUGUAUGUGUAUGUAUGCGUAUGUAUGUACAUAGGUAUGAAAUGAAACAAAGAUGUCAACAAUGUGCCCCGAGACAGAGGGUUUUGAUUAGGCAUUGACACAAAUGUUUUUCUUUUUCUAUGGAAAGAAAAUAUUUAGCUGGUGGACUUCUGAAAACAUACAUUUUUUCCCUUAGAGAUUGUUUCAUUCACUAGUAUUUUUGUGAGAGAUAAUUUUCUGCACGUACACUUUUUUUUUGUAAUUUCUAAAAUAAAUUUCAACUUAAAAUCACAGGGGAACAAUCUUCAGACAGACUCCGGGAAGUUAUAGAAUCCAGACAGUGGCUCCACUUGGAGAGAGAGGGGUUUUGGAAGAUGUCGCUCAUCCAGCAGGGUACAAAGCACUGGGCAGAGAAGGUGGCAGCUAGGACUCUGCUGCUGCGGACACUUAGGGCCAGGCUCAGCAUGUUCUACUUAGACAUGAUUCCUCCUCACAAAACAGUUCUGAAACUGCUCUGUAUCAAUGUUAAUUAGGAUAUGAAAUUAAAAUUUGCUCCCACCAAUGGGAUAAUAUGCAAGCGAUGCAGGACACAUAUUUAGUUAGCCCUGGACAGGAUUUUAAUUUUCUGCCGUCAGCUUCUAGGAAAAGCUUGUCAGAAAUGGAUGGAGCGAUCCAUAUUUUCCAUUGACAGCUGCCAAGAUCCAACCAGAACCAUCUGCUUCAUUACUAUUUCCUUGAACUGGAUUUCCUUGAAAUUCUGUGUGCACAGCAGCAGACCGGAUCAUCACCUAUAACUAACUGGGUUGUGAUUCUAUCUCCCACCUUUAGCAAUUGCUCAUCUAUUCAAAGCCUUUCUUGCAAAUAUUUUAAAAUAAAAUGACAUCAUGUUAUCCCACACUUAAUUCAUUGUCCUGAAAUAUCUGGGUGAAAUAUCAUUGUAUGCAUGGAUGAUUAGGAAGGAAAAUUACCUGUGGAGGCAGCAUAGAGUAUUUUAAUGAAAUAAUUCCACUCAUUCAUUUUGAAUGUCUCGAUUUCUCUGACAGCAAAUCACACUGCUGCAGCAAGCUCUUAGUGUUCUUUUGACAAAUAUGCCUGCAUUAUACCAUGUAAAGGCACUUUAAAAAUGUUUCAGUGUGUAGAAAAUCUGUAUGAUCAGUAUAAGUGAAACCAAGCAUUAUUUAAAGAAAUUUACUCCAUUUAAUUGACAGGACGUAUGUGACCUAGGUCAAGACAAGUCUGAAAACUUGGCGUUCCAGAAAUAUGGGCGCAGAGCUGGAGUUAGCACAUAUAAUCUAUAGAAAGAAGCUUUGCCCACAGGGACCAUCUCCUGUUAUAUAUCAAUGCCCUUGCGUGAAAUAUCUAUAUUAUUUCAGACGUGAGUGUGAGAUUCCAAUUUUAAGCACUGCCUCCAGUUAUUGAUGGUGAAGUUGGUUGUCACUCUACCUGCAAUUUAGAAAUUAUUUUAAUGUGAAAGCAUGCAAAUCAUAUUAAUGAAAACAAUGCAAAGAGUAAUAAUCAUAUUAAAGUAAUUC
rnacentral:lncRNA from 1 species